AAUGCUGAUCACAUCUUGCAGCUAUUACCAGGGCAGCAAAGAAAGCAGAAGUAUCAACUUUGAAUUCUGCCACAUUGUCCUUUCCAGCUUGCAGAUGAACUGAUAAUUUAACUGAUAUGAUGCCUAAGUGGGUGUCAGAGGAGGACAACGCUGUGGGGCUUUCCUUCAGUUCCUUGUCUCAGUUGCAUCUCUUCCUCCACUGAAGGGCAAUUCUCCCUGGCCUCUCCUCAGCAGCCCAGGAAGUACAGAAGAGAAGGCAUACCAAGUUCACGAUAAGAUAAGAAAGUAUACACUUCAACAUCUGGCAUAUUUGCAAGAAAGCAGUAUCAAUGGAAGUGUGGUACAAACUCCCAGACAUCACUUUCAUUAUGUGCUACAACCUUACCCAAAUUUGAAGGAGGAGUUCAGCAAGG